rnacentral:rRNA from 1 species
UAGGGAAUCUUCCGCAAUGGGCGAAAGCUUGACGGAGCAACGCCGCGUGAGUGAUGAAGGUCUUCGGAUCGUAAAACUCUGUUAUUAGGGAAGAACAAAUGUGUAAGUAACUAUGCACGUCUUGACGGUACCUAAUCAGAAAGCCACGGCUAACUACGUGCCAGCAGCCGCGGUAAUACGUAGGUGGCAAGCGUUGUCCGGAUUUAUUGGGCGUAAAGCGAGCGCAGGCGGUCAAUUAAGUCUGAUGUGAAAGCCCCCGGCUCAACCGGGGAGGGUCAUUGGAAACGGGUUGACUUGAGUGCAGAAGAGGAGAGUGGAAUUCCAUGUGUAGCGGUGAAAUGCGUAGAUAUAUGGAGGAACACCAGUGGCGAAGGCGACUCUCUGGUCUGUAACUGACGCUGAGGCUCGAAAGCGUGGGUAGCAAACAGG